CCCCCCUCCUUAUCUUGUAAAUUAAUUCUUAUGCUGUACAGUCUUUUUUAUUGAAAUAAAUCGGGUGACUAAUGGUUUCAUGCCACUAGUCUCCUAGCUAGCUACUUUCAUCAAAAAGAGUUAAGAUAUAUAAUGCAUGACCAUUAUUUAUAUCAUGCACUAGGAUCAGCUAGUCUUCAUAAAAUGCAUCAAAUGAACACAGCUCUACGGU
rnacentral:lncRNA from 1 species